rnacentral:lncRNA from 1 species
AUUUGGAUAUGUUGAUUAAUUUUCAGGAAUUCGCUAACUGUACAGAGAUGCUGCUUCAGAAGCUAGAAAUAAGAAAAAAGAAUAGUUAUAACAAUAAAAGCUUCUUUAUUCUAAGUAAGUUAAGAAAUUAAAUUGGAAGUGUUUGAUAACAAGAAAAUAAAAGUGAAGGGGUAGUUAAGAUUCAUUAAAAUUAAGUAAAUUGCAAGUUUUUGAUAACAAGAAAACAAAAGUGAAGUGGUAGUUAAGAUUCAUUAACAUUAAAUAAGUGGGGAUAUUAGUUUGGGCUAAUUGCAUACAGAUUCCUAUAAAAAUAAUAAAUUACAAAUAUAUAUUCUACAAAGUCCAACUUUCAUAUGUUGUUCCUGUAAAAGUCCUGAUGUUUCCAAAUAUAUUCCUACUAUUAGAAUCCGUUAAAAAAAUUUAGUUAACCAUAGGUUAAAUACUUAACCGAAGUUAGUUAAUGAGGUGAAUUGACCUUUUUACCACUCUUCAUUUAACAGUUGGGACUUUUAGAGGGACAUAUUUGUGAUGGCAACAAGGUCAUUUCACUUACAAAAUAGAUAGUACUUUAACGGUAAUAAAUCAAAGGGACAUAUUUGAAAAUAUUAGGACUUUUGAAGGGACAGCAUAUGAAAAUUAAAUUUUGUGAGGAUAAAUUUGUAAUUCACUAUGUUUGCAGGAACCUGUAUAAAAUUAACCCGAUUAGUUUUGUCAUUGAUUUGGUGGGUUGGCAUUUGUUGAAGUUCCCCAACCUUAGCCCCAUUAAUACUCCUAUAUAACCAAACUCACAUUUAGCUUCCACUUAAGAAUUGUAGCGAUUCGGCUCGCUAGCACUCGACAACUUAUUUGGUUCAAACUACUAAUCCAAAAUAUUUAAACUAAUAUAAUAACAUUUAGUUCUGCCGUUAGAUCUAUUCUUUGAUUAUUUUCAUCUGUUAGAUUAUACUAUUCGACCAACCACCCACUCAACCCUAAAGAGCCAUUAUCAUCCUAACUGGAACCAUUAUCAUCCAAACCACACAUCUUUUCAUUCAACGGUUGAAAACUCGAUAGCACCGGACAGUGACC